rnacentral:lncRNA from 1 species
CUCGUGCUAUUCAUCGAGAUGGUGUGAUAAGAGAGUAUGACAGUUUAGAAGCUGCUGGCCAGGUGCAUUGCUUUUUCAUAUUUGUUCGUCAUUUUUACUUUGGUGAUUUAUUUUAAUAGAAGAGAGCUUGAGUGAUGUAAAGAGCGAAAUAUAAUAAAUGGACUACAAUUUUGUCAAAACAUAGUACUAUCUCUAGCAAACAGGCGAUGUCCUGUGAUCCAAGCAAUCAAAGUACGUUAACUCAAACCAUAGAGUAUUUUCAUAAUAUUAAAAAUGGAUGGUCAAAGUUGUGUUUGGUGGUAUGUGUCAAUUGAAAACAAGACAUGAAUUUAAUAUAACAGUGUCAAUCAUUAUAGAUCUGGUUUCACUGAGAUAAAAGGCCCCCUUUCUUUGAUUUUGCACUCACAUUAAGUUUCUAACCAAGCCAGCAUGCAUGGCUUUGCGACGAUGCUAUUAAUAUGUUGUACACUAAUGUUUUGUUACUCCAUUCUUCAGAUGACCCUUUACCUGGCAGAAGCUAGCAGAUAUUUUGCAUGCACAGACUUAUUUCGAGAACCUUCUAAGUAUGCAUGGUCUGAUUACUACGAAGAUCAUUUUAUUGUGCCAAACCAGAGGAUUGCUUUAGUAACCAACAAGAGGGUGAUACUCCUUCAGGUAAUGCUUCUUUUUAUCUGAUUCUCUUAGUACAUUCCUCUAAAUUUUGACUAAACUUGUCCUUUUAUUAGUGCUUGGAUCUAGAUAAAAUGGACAGGAAACCUUCCAAAAUACUUUGGGAUGUCCCUUGGGAAGAAGUACUUGCAUUGGAACUUGCAAAAGCUGGGUAUCAGAGGCCUUCACAUGUAAUCAUACAUCUGAAGAACUUUAGGAGGUCUGAGAACUUUGUAAGGCUUAUAAAGUGCAGUGUUGAUGAAGAACGGGAAGCUCAGGCUGUUCUACUUUGUUCUUCAAUACGAAAAAUGUGGAGAUCUCACCAGACAGGCACGAAAGUUGUACCCUUGAAGGUUCCUUCUGGCCAGCGCCCUGUAUAUUUUGCAUCGGAUGAUGAUAGAAGGGAAUCCCAGAGUCCUGCUAGGCCUUUGCUAAGCUCAAGAGGAGCAUCCAGUAAUAUUGAGCAUCGACUUAUAAACCACACAGUUAACUUCCAGAAAAUGUGGAGUAGUGAACAAGAAGUUCGGAGCCGGUGUAAACUACUUGGGAAGCAGGUAAGUUGGCUGAAUUCUUCAUAGAGAUCAAAAGAAGUUCGGAGCUGGUGUACUGAGGUAACCACAAUCAUGAAUUUAUAUUCCAGGUUGCAGACGAUGGAAGGAUUUUUAGCAUCUGGAGACCCCUAUGCCCUAGUGGGUAUGAAACUAUACUUGUAUCCAUCUAAUAUACCUAUUUUCUGCACUGAUGCUCAAAGUAUAGAACCGCUUAUUUGUAGGUAUGUCUCAAUUGGAGAUGUCGCUCAUGUUGGCAUCCAUCCACCACAUUUUGCUGCUAUCUACAAGAAUGUUAACGACAAUUUUGUGCUUCCUCUUGGCUAUGACCUGGUCAGUGUUCAGUGAAACAUUUUCUAUUUCAUUCUGUAAGGUUGACAGGACAUCAACUAAAUGUCCUAGACCUGUCUGCUUGAUACUUCUAGUCAGCUUUGAGAUUGCACUGUAGUAUAUAGUGUUUUGGCUAUGCAAAACUGAUUUCAGUUUUUGUUUUAUCGUGCACACAGGUUUGGAGAAAUUGCGCCGAGGAUUACAGGAGCCCUGUAUCAUUAUGGCAACCAAGGCCACCUGAGGGAUACGUGGCUCUGGGAUGUGUGGCUGUUUCUGCUUUCGAAGAGCCCCCUCUUGAUUGCGCCUUUUGCGUGAAUGAGAGAUUUGCGGAGGAUGCAGUGUUUGAGGAUCAGAUAGUAUGGGCUUCCUCAGAUGCUUACCCAUGGGGAUGCUACAUUUACCAAGUUCAGAGCAGUUCGCUGCAAUUCAUGGCACUCCGUCUUCCAAAAGAGCAGUCUGAGCAGAAGCCUAAGAAGAUCUUGGAGGCCUAUCUCCAGCGAGCAUCAGAUUAAUGAUCCUAUGAGGCGAAGCAGACUUGCCAUGCAUCAGAGACAUCAGGAGCGGUAUGUAUAAUACUCCCUCCAUCCCGACACUAUGAUAGUGUCAAAAAUGAUCUUACAUUUGGGACGGAGGGAGUAUAAUAUAUGAAAAUGAGAAACUUUGCUAUGCAAUGCAAAAGAGAAGACCCAGCAAUCUUGCGCAAGAUAGUUUGUCUCGGAUAUGAAAUAUUUUUGUACAGUUUUGGUCGGCAUUAUGUUAUUGAGCAUGGCAUUUUUGCGGGGAGAGAUAAUGUGCUAGCUUGGCUUUGUUUUUUGGCUGUUGCUGGGAUUUGUAUUUCUGCUUGAUGCUUGUCAAUACCGGCUAGAGUGUAAACUAGUAGAGGGGGGAAUGGCUGUAAGUGUACAUUUUGUAACACGUUGUUAUAGUGCUCUUUCUGCUGUGGUGCUGUUGCUAUUUGCAGUUCUGCUUGAUGCUGUCAAAACUAGCCAACUGAACAAGACAAAUGUAGAGCUCCUGCCCUGCCUCAAGCUUGUAUUUACCAUCUUUUGUG